UACGAAGGGGCUAGCGUUGCUCGGAAUCACUGGGCGUAAAGCGCACGUAGGCGGGUCCUUAAGUCGGGGUGAAAUCCCGGAGCUCAACUCCGGAACUGCCUUCGAUACUGGGGACCUCGAGUCCGGGAGAGGUGAGUGGAACUGCGAGUGGUAGAGGUGAAAUUCGUAGAUAUUCGCAAGAACACCAGUGGCGAAAGGCGGCUCACUGGCCCGGUACUGACGCUGAGGUGCGAAAGCGUGGGAGCAACAGG
rnacentral:rRNA from 1 species